AAAGAGCCAGGGUAGUCAAAGGACUGCUCGUUAAUUUUAAGAUGUGCAGGAUGAAGAGAACAAUGCAAGGACAUCAGCAGAUCAGCAUUGGUGACAUCUGCUAAUUAUUUGGUUUGACUCGUGGCUGGCAUGAGACUUCCAUCUGCAUCAAUCAAUGGAGGCAAUAAGCACAGACAGAUCUGGAACCCUUGCCUACUGUGACAUACAGCGCCAGUAGCAGGCAAGCCUGGGUCAGCUCCAGAGUGGCAAUGGAGGGAAAUUCCCAGGACCCUGGGUCUCUUGGAAGUUUCCAAAGCCUGCAACUGAUCACAGAUCUUGGUUUUCCUCCCAUUGGCUAAAAAGAUAAUAAAUACAAGUUAUAGCUUGA
rnacentral:lncRNA from 1 species